UACGAAGGGGGCUAGCGUUGCUCGGAAUCACUGGGCGUAAAGCGCACGUAGGCGGCUUACUAAGUCAGGGGUGAAAUCCUGGAGCUCAACUCCAGAACUGCCUUUGAUACUGGUAAGCUCGAGUCCGGGAGAGGUGAGUGGAACUGCGAGUGUAGAGGUGAAAUUCGUAGAUAUUCGCAAGAACACCAGUGGCGAAGGCGGCUUACUGGCCCAUUACUGACGCUGAGGCACGAAAGCCAGGGGAGCAAACAGG
rnacentral:rRNA from 1 species